GCAGAGAUGGCCGAGUGGUCGAAGGCGCACGCCUGGAAAGCGUGUGUACCCUAACCGGGUACCGAGGGUUCAAAUCCCUCUCUCUGCGCCA
rnacentral:tRNA from 1 species